GACAAAGCCUAAUAGGAUGAUGAGCACUCAUCUUUUAGAUACAGAUAUCACCCUGAGUGGGACUUCAUUGGCAUAACUGUAUUUUAGAUGUCGACUUUAAGUGAUCAACAAUGAAUUCCUAGAAUAUCACUAAUAUGCACCAGUGCUGUGGAAGAUACAUAUCUCCACUGAUCAGGACAGAGCAAACUGUUAUAUUUAAGUCAUCUAACCACAUAGAACAUUAUUUUUCUCAUUAAAAGAAAAAAGAUGUGAUAAAA